rnacentral:rRNA from 1 species
GGAGCUUGCUCCUGGAUUCAGCGGCGGACGGGUGAGUAAUGCCUAGGAAUCUGCCUGGUAGUGGGGGACAACGUUUCGAAAGGAACGCUAAUACCGCAUACGUCCUACGGGAGAAAGCAGGGGACCUUCGGGCCUUGCGCUAUCAGAUGAGCCUAGGUCGGAUUAGCUAGUUGGUGAGGUAAUGGCUCACCAAGGCGACGAUCCGUAACUGGUCUGAGAGGAUGAUCAGUCACACUGGAACUGAGACACGGUCCAGACUCCUACGGGAGGCAGCAGUGGGGAAUAUUGGACAAUGGGCGAAAGCCUGAUCCAGCCAUGCCGCGUGUGUGAAGAAGGUCUUCGGAUUGUAAAGCACUUUAAGUUGGGAGGAAGGGUUGUAGAUUAAUACUCUGCAAUUUUGACGUUACCGACAGAAUAAGCACCGGCUAACUCUGUGCCAGCAGCCGCGGUAAUACAGAGGGUGCAAGCGUUAAUCGGAAUUACUGGGCGUAAAGCGCGCGUAGGUGGUUCGUUAAGUUGGAUGUGAAAUCCCCGGGCUCAACCUGGGAACUGCAUCCAAAACUGGCGAGCUAGAGUAUGGUAGAG